rnacentral:misc_RNA from 1 species
GAUGAAGAACGCAGCGAAUUGCGAUACGUAAUGUGAAUUGCAGAAUUCAGUGAAUCAUCGAGUCUUUGAACGCACAUUGCGCCCCCUGGUAUUCCGGGGGGCAUGCCUGUCCGAGCGUCAUUGCUGCCCUCAAGCACGGCUUGUGUGUUGGGCCUCCGUCCUCCUCCCGGGGGACGGGCCCGAAAGGCAGCGGCGGCACCGCGUCCGGUCCUCGAGCGUAUGGGGCUUCGUCACCCGCUCUUGUAGGCCCGGCCGGCGCUUGCCGACACAUCAAUCUUUUUUCCAGGUUGACCUCGGAUCAGGUAGGGAUACCCGCUGAACUUAAGCAUAUCAAUAAGCGGAGGA